AUUGAACGCUGGCGGCAUGCCUUACACAUGCAAGUCGAACGGCAGCACGGGAGCAAUCCUGGUGGCGAGUGGCGAACGGGUGAGUAAUAUAUCGGAACGUGCCCAGUCGUGGGGGAUAACGCAGCGAAAGCUGUGCUAAUACCGCAUACGAUCUAAGGAUGAAAGCGGGGGAUCGCAAGACCUCGCGCGAUUGGAGCGGCCGAUAUCAGAUUAGCUAGGUGGUGGGGUAAAGGCCCACCAAGGCGACGAUCUGUAGCUGGUCUGAGAGGACGAACAGCCACACUGGAACGGAGACACGGUCCAGACUCCUACGUGAGGCAGCAGUGGGGAAUUUUGGACAAUGGGCGCAAGCCUGAUCCAGCAAUGCCGCGUGCAGGAUGAAGGCCUUCGGGUUGUAAACUGCUUUUGUACGGAACGAAACGGCCCUUUCUAAUACAAGGGGCUAAUGACGGUACCGUAAGAAUAAGCACCGGCUAACUACGUGCCAGCCGCCGCGGUAACAC
rnacentral:rRNA from 1 species